AACGAACGCUGGCGGCAUGCCUAACACAUGCAAGUCGAACGAGACCUUCGGGUCUAGUGGCGCACGGGUGCGUAACGCGUGGGAACCUGCCCUUAGGUUCGGAAUAACUCCCCGAAAGGGGUGCUAAUACCGGGUAAUGUCUUCGGACCAAAGAUUUAUCGCCUUUGGAUGGGCCCGCGUUGGAUUAACUAGUUGGUAGGGUAGAAGCCUACCAAGGCGACGAUCCAUAGCUGGUCUGAGAGGAUGAUCAGCCACACUGGGACUGAGACACGGCCCAGACUCCUACGGGAGGCAGCAGUGGGGAAUAUUGGACAAUGGGCGAAAGCCUGAUCCAGCAAUGCCGCGUGAGUGAUGAAGGCCUGAGGGUUGUAAAGCUCUUUUACCCGGGAUGAUAAUGACAGUACCGGGAGAAUAAGCUCCGGCUAACUCCGUG
rnacentral:rRNA from 1 species